GUGUCAGCCGCCGCGGUAAUACGGAGGGUGCGAGCGUUAAUCAGAAUUACUGGGCGUAAAGCGCGCGUAGGCGGUUUGCUAAGUCAGAUGUGAAAGCCCCGGGCUUAACCUGGGAACUGCAUUCGAAACUGGCGAACUAGAGUGUGGUAGAGGGAAGUGGAAUUCCGAGUGUAGCGGUGAAAUGCGUAGAGAUUCGGAGGAACAUCAGUGGCGAAGGCGACUUCCUGGACCAACACUGACGCUCAGGUGCGAAAGCGUGGGUAGCAAACAGGAUUAGAUACCCUGGUAGUCCACGCCGUAAACGAUGUCUACUAGCCGUUGGGAGGGUUUGCCUCUUAGUGGCGCAGCUAACGCGAUAAGUAGACCGCCUGGGGAGUACGGCCGCAAGGCUAAAACUCAAACGAAUUGACGGGGGCCCGCACAAGCGGUGGAGCAUGUGGUUUAAUUCGAUGCAACGCGAAGAACCUUACCUGCCCUUGACAUCCUGCGAACUUGGCAGAAAUGCCUUGGUGCCUUCGGGAACGCAGUGACAGGUGCUGCAUGGCUGUCGUCAGCUCGUGUCGUGAGAUGUUGGGUUAAGUCCCGUAACGAGCGCAACCCUUUUCCUUAGUUGCCAGCACGUAAUGGUGGGAACUCUAGGGAGACUGCCGGUGACAAACCGGAGGAAGGUGGGGAUGAGGUCAAGUCAUCAUGGCCCUUAUGGGCAGGGCUACACACGUGCUACAAUGGGCGGUACAGAGGGCCGCGAAGCCGCAAGGUGAAGCAAAUCUCAGAAAACCGUUCGUAGUCCGGAUUGCAGUCUGCAACUCGACUGCAUGAAGUCGGAAUCGCUAGUAAUCGCGGAUCAGAACGCCGCGGUGAAUACGUUCCCGGGCC
rnacentral:rRNA from 1 species